UGAAGGAAAGUAAAACAGCACUUUGAAAGGAGAGGACAAGAGAACCGUGAAACCGUAAUAGUGGAAGCGGAUGGAGCCGACGUAUCCAGUGCGUAUUUCGCCGCUGUCGGAUGCAAUUUGUUCGUUUGGAGUUCUGUAAAGUCUCCGAUGAAUAACUGUUGUGUUCGGUGAGUGGUGCACUUACGCACAGAGUGCGCCGAAUCGGCUAGACUUGGCGUUCGAAGUCUGGCCAAGAGGACCGACUCGCAAGAGCCGGAAACCUGGGCAUCGGACGGGCGACGCAUGAGUCUGGCUGCGUUGCAUAAGGCUGGUCGAUCUGAAGUGGCCGUAGAGGUUGCUACGUUGUUGGGGUGCGGCGCAUGCGUUUCGCCUCAAGACGUGUUUCUUUCUGCGAUCGUUUCUCGGCCGGUAUUCGGUGUUUAGUCGGUCACCCAUUUGACCCGUCUUGAAACACGGACCAAGGAGUUUAAGGUCUACGCAAGUCAUUGGGUGGAAAACUCAAAGGCGAAAUGAAAGUGGGACACUUGGUGUCUGUGAUGCGAUCCGUGUAUGAUUCGUUGUAUGCGGAGCAGCAUCGACCCAUGACCAGAACUUGUUCUGUUGUGGCGUCUGAGCGUAGGCUUUGAGACCCGAAAGAUGGUGAACUAUGCCUGAACAGGACGAAGUCAGAGGAAACUCUGAUGGAAGUCCGAAGCGGUUCUGACGUGCAAAUCGAUCGUCUGAUUUG
rnacentral:rRNA from 1 species